AGCAGCCGCGGUAAUUCCAGCUCCAAUAGCGUAUAUUAAAGUUGCUGCAGUUAAAAAGCUCGUAGUUGAAUUUCGGGAUCAAUUUGCUGGUCGUGCCUACGGUACGUACUGGUUUUGUUGGUUCCUCCUUUCCGAGGAGCCGCGAUGUCAUUAACUUGGUGUCGCGAGGAAUUGGGACUGUUACUUUGAAAAAAUUAGAGUGUUUAAAGCAGGCUAACGCUUGAAUACAUUAGCAUGGAAUAAUGAAAUAGGACGUUUGAUCCUAUUUUGUUGGUUUCUAGGAUCGACGUAAUGAUUAAUAGGGAUAGUUGGGGGCAUUAGUAUUCAAUUGUCAGAGGUGAAAUUCUUGGAUUUAUUGAAGACUAACUACUGCGAAAGCAUUUGCCAAGGAUGUUUUCAUUAAUCAAGAACGAAAGUUAGGGGAUCGAAGACGAUCAGAUACCGUCGUAGUCUUAACCAUAAACUAUGCCGACUAGGGAUCGGAUGAUAAAGUUUUUAAUAAAUCAUUCGGCGCCUUACG
rnacentral:rRNA from 1 species